rnacentral:rRNA from 1 species
CCUACGGGAGGCAGCAGUAAGGAAUAUUGGUCAAUGGACGCAAGUCUGAACCAGCCAUGCCGCGUGCAGGAUGAAGGCCCUCUGGGUUGUAAACUGCUUUUAUAGGGGACGAAAAAGGGACUUUCUAGUUCAACUGACGGUACCCUAGGAAUAAGCACCGGCUAACUCCGUGCCAGCAGCCGCGGUAAUACGGAGGGUGCAAGCGUUAUCCGGAUUUACUGGGUUUAAAGGGUGCGUAGGUGGGUCGGUAAGUCAGCGGUGAAAUCUUCGAGCUUAACUCGGAAACUGCCAUUGAUACUAUCGAUCUUGAAUCAUCUAGAGGUAAGCGGAAUAUGUCAUGUAGCGGUGAAAUGCUUAGAUAUGACAUAGAACACCAAUUGCGAAGGCAGCUUACUAUGGAUGUAUUGACACUGAGGCACGAAAGCGUGGGGAUCAAACAGGAUUAGAUACCCUGGUAGUCCACGCCCUAAACGAUGGAUACUCGACAUCAGCGAUACACUGUUGGUGUCUGAGCGAAAGCAUUAAGUAUCCCACCUGGGAAGUACGAUCGCAAGAUUGAAACUCAAAUGAAUUGACGG